rnacentral:rRNA from 1 species
CACGUAGGGCGCAAGCGUUGUCCGGAAUUAUUGGGCGUAAAGAGCUCGUAGGCGGUCUGUUGCGUCCGCUGUGAAAACUCGGGGCUUAACCCCGAGCCUGCAGUGGAUACGGGCAGACUAGAGUGUGGUAGGGGAGAUCGGAAUUCCUGGUGUAGCGGUGAAAUGCGCAGAUAUCAGGAGGAACGACCGGUGGCGAAGGCGGAUCUCUGGGCCAUUACUGACGCUGAGGAGCGAAAGCGUGGGGAGCGAACAGG